AGUGGCGGACGGGUGAGUAACGCGUGGGUAAUCUGCCCUGUACACACGGAUAACAUACCGAAAGGUAUGCUAAUACGAGAUAAUAUACUUUUAUCGCAUGGUAGAAGUAUCAAAGCUCCGGCGGUACAGGAUGGACCCGCGUCUGAUUAGCUAGUUGGUAAGGUAACGGCUUACCAAGGCGACGAUCAGUAGCCGACCUGAGAGGGUGAUCGGCCACAUUGGAACUGAGACACGGUCCAAACUCCUACGGGAGGCAGCAUG
rnacentral:rRNA from 1 species